AGAGUUUGAUCCUGGCUCAGGACGAACGCUGGCGGCGUGCUUAACACAUGCAAGUCGAACGGAAAGGCCCUUCGGGGUACUCGAGUGGCGAACGGGUGAGUAACACGUGGGUGAUCUGCCCUGCACUCUGGGAUAAGCCUGGGAAACUGGGUCUAAUACCGGAUAGGACCGCAUGCUUCAUGGUGUGUGGUGCAAAGCUUUUGCGGUGUGGGAUGAGCCCGCGGCCUAUCAGCUUGUUGGUGGGGUAAUGGCCCACCAAGGCGACGACGGGUAGCCGGCCUGAGAGGGUGACCGGCCACACUGGGACUGAGAUACGGCCCAGACUCCUACGGGAGGCAGCAGUGGGGAAUAUUGCACAAUGGGCGCAAGCCUGAUGCAGCGACGCCGCGUGAGGGAUGACGGCCUUCGGGUUGUAAACCUCUUUCAGUAGGGACGAAGCGAAAGUGACGGUACCUACAGAAGAAGGACCGGCCAACUACGUGCCAGCAGCCGCGGUAACACGUAGGGUCCGAGCGUUGUCCGGAAUUACUGGGCGUAAAGAGCUCGUAGGUGGUUUGUCGCGUUGUUCGUGAAAACUCACAGCUUAACUGUGGGCGUGCGGGCGAUACGGGCAGACUAGAGUACUGCAGGGGAGACUGGAAUUCCUGGUGUAGCGGUGGAAUGCGCAGAUAUCAGGAGGAACACCGGUGGCGAAGGCGGGUCUCUGGGCAGUAACUGACGCUGAGGAGCGAAAGCGUGGGUAGCGAACAGGAUUAGAUACCCUGGUAGUCCAA
rnacentral:rRNA from 1 species